AAAGGGAGACCUAAUUCAGGUAGGAGACGAAAAAAAAGUAGUCCCAACCAAGAAUCAAUCCCAAAAGGUCGGAGCGAGGCGAAAUUGGCUUUCAAACUAGGUUCUGGGUUCACACAAGACCUGAAUCAGGAACAAGGGCUAUUAGCUCAGGUGGUUAGAGCGCACCCCUGAUAAGGGUGAGGUCCCUGGUUCGAGUCCAGGAUGGCCCACCUGCACAGGUGGCAAAAACAAGAGAAGCUCCGAAUCAGCACCUUAUCUUACUUACAUAGUAAGAGAGAAUGCUGGCUCUGAGUAAAGAGUCCAGAGGAACCUUGAAAACUGCAUAGAGCUAGGUGAAAAAGCCAAAAAAGAAGACCGCAAG
rnacentral:tRNA from 1 species